CUUUUCAGGACCACACUCACAGCUUAUGGAGGGUCCCAGGCUGGGGUCAAAUCGGAGGUAUAGCUGCUGGAUUAUGCCACAGCCACAGCCAUGAGGGAUCCAAGCUGUGUCCUCGACCUACACCACAGCUCACGGCAAUGACAGAUCCUUAACCCACUGAGCAAGGCCAGAGAUUGAACUUGCAUCCUCAUGGAUACCAGUCAGAUUCAUUUCUACUGAGCCAUGAUGGGAACUCUGGAAUUCUUCGCAGCUCUGUUAUUUAGUGAAAGAGGUCUGUGGGCAUGCCCUUCAGAUUAUUAGACGGAUUUGAUACUUUCUAUCAGGAACCACCAUCAAUCUCUCUGAGAUAUUCACAAAAGGACUUAAGUUGACCAGGCGUCCCUUUUGAGACAAUGUUUUCCUGACAACAUCCAAGAUUUGAUCUUUAUCUAGAUGAUAUUUUUAAAAUUUAGGGUCACGUGCCAUCUGGGAAUCCUCAGAGUGAGAGUUUUUCCUUUGAUGCAUCAAUAUCUGGAUCUUUUGACGUGGAAAUAUUCGUUCCUUGGCUCCUCUCUUUAAUUUCAUCCGAGGCAGAUGUGAGGAGGCACAGUGAUGCUGUGACUGGGCAUCUCUUUAGUUAUUUCUCAGUUCAGUACAGAUACUUCCUAGUUACCACGUGACUUCAGGUGAGCCUGUUGCUCAAUUAUCUCACCGCUUUCUUUGCAUUUCCAGUAGCAUUUUUUCAUAAUUUCCUUCGACCUUCUGACAAUAAAACUCCUUCAAGGAUUUUCAGGUUGCACUAGCAAUCUCUUUAAGGACCUUCUGAUUUCUGUCCCUGAUCCUAACGCCAUCAUUCAGGUUUUGUUAUGACACUAGCCACGCUGAAACCUAGUGACUUAAGACACAGACACUGACUUUGCCCACAGGUGCACAGUUUGGGUCUGGCUCAUGGUAAAAGGGUUUUCUCUGCUCACUGUCACACCAGCUGGAGUGGCUUGACUGACGCAUCCUUUCCAUGAUGAUUUUUCUCAUAGGUGAGGCUGGAAAGACAGUGCUGGCUGGCAUUCGGUCUGGGGACCCUUGCUUCCCUUUCACACAUGUGUCUCCACGUGACCUGCAUUUCCUCACAAUGUGGUGGUUUGUUUCCCAGAAAGAACCAAGCUGGAGCCACACUGCAUUUUAUGUCUUAGACUCAGAGGUCUCACAGUGUCACCUCCAUUGUCCUUUAUUCACCAACACAGAUGGGGAAGGGGUAGGGUUCUGGAAGCAUAGCUGGGACUAGAAACACAGUUGGGGCUUUUUUGGAAAGUAGUCUCCCACAAUAGCAAUUAACAUGCAAUUUAACAUUAACACGUAGAGAGCAGAAGUCUUGUGCUCCUCUUGCUGCUCUGUCUCCUCAGAAUGGAAUGAUAACUUCCUCUUGCUUUUACCCAUUAUAAUUUAAUACCCAAGGUCACACUCGUCCUUAGAAGCAAUUCUCUGUGUUGCAGCAUAUAAAGCCUGAUGAUUACUUUGUUCAGACUUUCUUCCCAGGGUUCUGUUUAGAAGACGGUGAUGAUGAAGGGCACUUUUGCAAAAUUUGAAAGGUGGGUCUCUGCAGAAACUUCUGGGGCUGGCUGACAAAGACAGGAUCUUUUCCCAUGGUUUUAGACCAUCUUCUAAGACUUGCUCCCUUGCUGCAGGAAGCUGAGAACAUGGAUGGCUUCUCUCUCAUCUCUCUACUUUCACAAAGCCACCUGCCUGACUUCAGUCCCCAAGGCCCCCAGCACUGUGUAUGUCUCUCUAAUCCCUGCAUGCAAACUGUUUACUCUAAAUCGUAGGGUGGCUUUGGCUCCCCUGACUAUGUGACUUGGGCAGCGGCUGGUGCUGGACUGUCUCUGUUCCACAUGGUAUCAGCUAAAGGAGGUCAACUGAGGG
rnacentral:lncRNA from 1 species